CCUGUGAAACCACGGAACUGAAUGCUGGAGAGGGAAGCGGAAUUCCCCAUUGUAGCGGUGAAAUGCGUAGAUAUUGGGAGGAACACCUGUGGCGAAGGCGGCUUCCUGGACAGACACUGACGCUGAGGCGCGAAAGUCCAGGGGAGCGAUCGGGAUUAGAUACCCCGGUAGUCCCUGGCUGUAAACGAUGAACACUUGGUGUGGGGGGUGAUGAAAGUCCCUCUGUGCCGGAGAGAACUCAUUAAGUGUUCCGCCUGGGGAGUACGGCCGCAAGGCUGAAACUCAAAGGAAUUGACGGGGGCCCGCACAAGCGGUGGAGCAUGUGGUUUAAUUCGACGCAACGCGAAGAACCUUACCGGGGUUUGAACUGCACCUGAGCGAUCUAGAGAUGGAGAGGUUNCCUUAGGGGACAGGUGCAGAGGUGUUGCAUGGCUGUCGUCAGCUCGUGUCGUGAGAUGNUGGGUUAAGUCCCGCAACGAGCGCAACCCUUGUCUGUAGUNGCCAUCAGGUAAUGCUGGGCACUCUACGGAGACUGUCGGCGAGAAGCCGGAGGAAGGUGGGGAUGACGUCAAGUCCUCAUGGCCUUUAUGUCCCGGGCUACACACGUNCUNCAAUGGGCGGUACAGAGGGCAGCGAACCUGUGAAGGCAAGCGAAUCCCAGAAAACCGCUCUCAGUUCGGAUUGCAGUCUGCAACUCGACUGCAUGAAGUUGGAAUCGCUAGUAAUCGCGGAUCAGAACGCCGCGGUGAAUACGUUCCCGGGCCUUGUACACACCGCCCGUCACAUCAUGAAAGUGGGCUGUACUAGAAGCCGCCGGCCGAACCUUCGGGACCGGAGGCGUCGACGGUAUGGCUCAUGACUUGGGGUGAAGUCGUAACAAGGUAACC
rnacentral:rRNA from 1 species